rnacentral:rRNA from 1 species
CUUUCUUUGCUGGCGACCGGCGCACGGGUGAGUAACACGUAUCCAACCUGCCCUUUACUCGGGGAUAGCCCUUCGAAAGAAAGAUUAAUACCCGAUGGCAUAAUUAGACCGCAUGGUCUUAUUAUUAAAGAAUUUCGGUUAUCGAUGGGGAUGCGUUCCAUUAGGCAGUUGGUGAGGUAACGGCUCACCAAACCUUCGAUGGAUAGGGGUUCUGAGAGGAAGGUCCCCCACAUUGGAACUGAGACACGGUCCAA